AUGGUUAUGGGGAGGUGGCAACUGAGUUCAAAAGAGGGUGUGACAUUCAACCACCCAAAUAUGGGUGUAAAUGACACGUGUAUGUAGGACUAUGCCAUAUGUCCUCACAUAAACCAUCAUAAUAUAACCCAAGUAUGCUUAAUAAUGCGUAGAAAAAAUAAAUAUUAAAAACCUACACUAACAUUUUUUAGUAAAAACGUGGUUCUUUUGGCUAGUCGAGCUCAUAACCAGCAGAGCCCCUACACCCACCUCGAUUUUGUUCAAGAGCUUGGAUUCUUUGUAAUGCACAGAUUCGAGGGUUUAUGGUAUUACAGGCAAUCAAUUAUUUCACAUUUUGCAGAGCCAAAUUCAUAGAUGGGUAAGAGGAGGAGUUUGAAAUUGUGAUUCUUAAUUUUGGGUACAAAGCAAUGUGCCCUCUGUAUAGAAAAUGGUUCCAAUCAAAAACCCACUUUUCUUUUA